GACGAACGCUGGCGGCGUGCUUAACACAUGCAAGUCGAACGGAAAGGCCUGCUUUCCCUUGUGGAUUGCGGGUACUCGAGUGGCGAACGGGUGAGUAACACGUGAGUGAUCUGCCCCCAACUUGGGUAUAAGCCUGGGAAACUGGGUCUAAUUCCCGAUAGGACUGCAGGGUGGUGCCUGUGGUGGAAAACGAUUUUCUAGUGGUUGGGGAUGAGCUCGCGGCCUAUCAGCUUGUUGGUGGGGUAAUGGCCUACCAAGGCGGCGACGGGUAGCCGGCCUGAGAGGGUGGACGGCCACAUUGGGACUGGGAUACGGCCCAGACUCCUACGGGAGGCAGCAGUGGGGAAUAUUGCACAAUGGGCGGAAGCCUGAUGCAGCGACGCCGCGUGGGGGAUGACGGCCUUCGGGUUGUAAACUCCUUUCGACCGCGAGGAAGCCACCUGGUUGGAAGGGUGGUGACGGUAGUGGUAGAAGAAGCACCGGCUAGCUACGUG
rnacentral:rRNA from 1 species